AUCCAUUACGAGAUUCGAACUGGGUACAUGUUAUCGUGAGUUUCAUAGACAUCUCUAACGAUUACGUAACAGUGUUUUAAUCUUCACACUCUUGUUAUUUCACACUCUCAAAUAAAUGAAGUUAUGUAAAUCAAUUUUGUGUAGCCUAUGUUUCAAAAUAUUAUCUGUAUUUUGCACCAUUUACAAAUGUAAAAUAGUAUUGUUAAAAAUUCAGAAGUUUUUGAAUUUGUCAGCACUUGGAGAUUAUUUUUCUCGUGCCGUAGACCGACUGAAGAAGAAAAAAAAGGGGUCAGAUUAUUUUCUUAGUGCUGUGUGUAAAGUUAUGUAUUAUUGACGCAACAGAUUAUGAGAUACAGAUGAAACAUGCAGGGAACCAUGUAAAUGAUUCUGAAAGUGGCUACCCAGGUGCUGUUUAAGGAAGCUUGUAAUAGGAGUGGAAAACCACCCAAAAACUAUGUGUCUCAAAAUGCCAGUAGAGACAUAGAAAGAAGAGAGGAACUAGCUGGGAUAUCAUUAUGAAGAACCUAACCUCCUUGGAGUCAAACUAUAUUCAGAGGGAAUGCAGAUACUGAGGCACCCUAGCUCAUCUAGGAAGUCGGGAAGAAAAAAGCGAGCCAAUGUUCAGUGCCACACUUGGACCACUGCAGAAAAGGCAGCUUUGUAAAGACAAUUUGAGACUUUCAUCAAACUAGGAAAAACUCUGGCUCAGGUUGACUGUCUAAAAUCCAUUUGGAAGGAGAAAUCGCUGUCCAGUUUAACAUGGUGUCGUGGAAAGUUUGCUGUUAAAAAUAUUACUUCCUGGCAGAGGUGUUACAAAGAGUUAAUCCAAUUUUUAUGCCCCCUCCAUUUGAAAGAGAGGGGACGUAUAUAUUGUUUUACAUGACUAAUUCGGUCUGUAGAGCAAAUCUUGUCUGCUCAAUAUCUAAUGAAUUCUUUUGCUUGACUGUUUCCAAACUUGGUACAAUGAUUGCCCCUAGAUAGUGAAUGAACCAUAUUAAUUUACAGGUCACAGGGUCAAGGGUCAAACUGGACACAGUAAGAUAUUGUCUGUUCAAUAUCUUGAGAACGCUUUCCUGACAGACAUCAAACUCGGUAUACUGGUUUCUUUUAAGAAGUAGGUGGUUUCUUUUAAGAAGUAGAUGGUUUCCUUUAAGAAGUAUAUGUCCCAUAAUGUCUCAUAUUCAUUUUGAAGUCACAAGGACAAAGGUCAAACUGUACAUAAUAAAAUAUUGUCCACUGAAUAUUUAAAGAACCAACCCUUUACCUGACAGUUACUAAACUUGGUACAGCGGUUGCCCCUAGAGAGUAGAUGACCCCUACUGAUUUCCAGAUCCCAAGGUUGAAGGUAAAAUUGGACAUAGUAAGAUACCGUCUGUUCAAUAUUUGAGAACCAUUCGCUUGACAGACAUCAAAAUUGGUUCACUAAUUUUCCUUAAGAAUUAGAUACCCCAUGGAUUUUGAGGUCACAAGGUCAAGGGUCAAACUGUACAUAAUAAAAUAUUGUCCACUGAAUAUUUAAAGAACCAACCCUUUACCUGACAGUUACUAAACUUGGUACAGCGCUUGACCCUAGAGAGUAGAUGACCCCUACUGAUUUCCAGAUCCCAAGGUUGAAGGUAAUAUUGGACAUAGUAAGAUACCGUCUGUUCAAUAUUUGAGAACCAUUCGCUUGACAGACAUCAAACUUGGUUCACUAAUUUUCCUUAAGAAUUAGAUACCCCAUUGAUUUUGAGGUCACAAGGUCAAGGGUCAAACUGGACAUGACAAGAUACUGUCUGCUCAAUAUCUUGAGGACUCUUUGCUUGACAGAUAUCAAAUCAGGUACACUGGUUCUACCUAAGGAGUAGAUGACUCCAUUUGAUUUUGAAGUCACAAGGUCAAUGGUCAAAAUACUACGGACAUAGGUAUUGUCUACACAAUAUCUUGAUUUUGCGUUUCUUGACAAACAUUAAACUUGGUACACUGACACAUCAUAAGUGUAGAUAUCUAGUAUUCAUUUUAAGGUCAAUGGUCAAACUACUCUGGACAUCAGAUUUUGUCCAUUCAGUAUCUUGAGAACCCUUGUUUGACAAACAUCAAACUUGGUAGUCUGAUGCCGCCUAAAGAAUAGGCCCCCAUUGGUUUUAAACUCUCAAAGUCAAAGGUCAGGACUCAAAUAACUGGUUAUUUGAAAAUGUCUGCUCAGUACCUUUAGAGACCACAUAUAAUGGUUGCCUCUGACUAAUAGAUACAUUGUAACCCUUAAUUUUCACUUUUGCUACAGACAUUCUAAAUGAUCAUUUUCAAUAUUGUAAUAUGGAGGCAUAUAUGUUACUUAAAUCUUUCUUGUAAAUGGUUUUGAUUCUAGUUUUAUAUACAAGAUGUAUUAUCAGCAUUUGUCAUUCAUUGUACACCAUACAUUGGUUCAUUCAAAAUUGAUAAAUAUAUAAUCAACAGCAGUACACAUGAAAUAAUUCUCCAUCUAUAUCUUGAAUUGAACCAAAAGUUUAAUGGUAUUCCAAGGCCUUAUAUUCAUGUGCGAUUGAAAGACUGAAUGAAUAUACUAAGAUAAUAUAACAGUAUUUAACUAAAACUAACUGCAGUUUAACACUAAUGUACUUAUAAUGUAAGUGAUAGUACCACACUCUUACUUGUAACUUGUUUUCAUUUAUAUUCAAUAAAUAUUUCAAGUUUGAUAGCUAACUCAAAUUUCAAAUAUGAAUGAACAUUAAGUGUCUGCUGUUUUAAGACUAAAGAGUAACUUUAUUUACAUAUGAGGUUUUUUGAGCUAAAUUGAUCAGCUUUGUAUGCUUAUGAAAUAAAUAUGUACACCUAUA